rnacentral:rRNA from 1 species
GAUGAACGCUGGCGGCGUGCCUAAUACAUGCAAGUCGAGCGAACGGACGAGAAGCUUGCUUCUCUGAUGUUAGCGGCGGACGGGUGAGUAACACGUGGAUAACCUACCUAUAAGACUGGGAUAACUUCGGGAAACCGGAGCUAAUACCGGAUAAUAUUUUGAACCGCAUGGUUCAAAAGUAAAAGACGGUCUUGCUGUCACUUAUAGAUGGAUCCGCGCUGCAUUAGCUAGUUGGUAAGGUAACGGCUUACCAAGGCAACGAUGCAUAGCCGACCUGAGAGGGUGAUCGGCCACACUGGAACUGAGACACGGUCCAGACUCCUACGGGAGGCAGCAGUAGGGAAUCUUCCACAAUGGGCGAAAGCCUGACGGAGCAACGCCGCGUGAGUGAUGAAGGUCUUCGGAUCGUAAAGCUCUGUUAUUAGGGAAGAACAUAUGUGUAAGUAACUGUGCACAUCUUGACGGUACCUAAUCAGAAAGCCACGGCUAACUACGUG